AACUACAGACAUCCUACUCUUCAUUCACCCAAUCUUAUAUGAUUUCUGAAGCUAAGCAGGCUUGGGCCUGCUUAGUCCAUGGAUGGGAGAAAGCUCAGGCAUAUAAUCU
ensembl:rRNA predicted gene, 24786